AGCGUUGUCCGGAAUCAUUGGGCGUAAAGAGCGUGUAGGCGGCCCGGUAAGUCCGCUGUGAAAGUCCAGGGCUCAACCCUGGGAUGCCGGUGGAUACUGUCGGGCUCGAGUCCGGAAGAGGAGUGUGGAAUUCCUGGUGUAGCGGUGAAAUGCGCAGAUAUCAGGAGGAACACCAAUGGCGAAGGCAGCGCUCUGGGACGUGACUGACGCUGAGACGCGAAAGCGUGGGGAGCAAACAGG
rnacentral:rRNA from 1 species